rnacentral:rRNA from 1 species
GUGGGGAAUAUUGGACAAUGGGCGAAAGCCUGAUCCAGCCAUGUCGCGUGUGUGAAGAAGGUCUUCGGAUUGUAAAGCACUUUAAGUUGGGAGGAAGGGCAGUAAGUUAAUACCUUGCUGUUUUGACGUUACCGACAGAAUAAGCACCGGCUAACUUCGUGCCAGCAGCCGCGGUAAUACGAAGGGUGCAAGCGUUAAUCGGAAUUACUGGGCGUAAAGCGCGCGUAGGUGGUUUUGUAAGUUGGAGGUGAAAACCCCGGGCUCAACCUGGGAACUGCCUCCAAAACUGCAUGACUAGAGUACGGUAGAGGGUAGUGGAAUUUCCUGUGUAGCGGUGAAAUGCGUAGAUAUAGGAAGGAACACCAGUGGCGAAGGCGACUACCUGGACUGAUACUGACACUGAGGUGCGAAAGCGUGGGGAGCAAACAGGAUUAGAUACCCCUGUAGUCC